CCCUUUUGGACCAACGGCUCUGGCUUCCAGGCGGCCGGGACGCGGUCCCAGGACUGGAGACCGUUGCCUGUCGGCCCCCGUGUGACCCGGGGCGCGUGACGGGGGUCGGGGGAACUGCGCCUGCAAUGGGCGUUUAUGGCCCCCAGGACCGGUCUGAGAGUGAGAAGAGGGAUGUGCAGAGAGAUCCCCCGCCUUGGCAUCCGAGGAGAGAGGGGGAGAGGCCCGCUCGGGCCCGGUCCCUUCCUCUCGCUGCAGCGGGGCAGGGUUUUCUCAGGAAAACCUGGAUUAGCGAACAUGGUACUGGUACUAACUCGGUGGGAAGACAUCCCUGGAACGUCUCUCCUCCUCGCCUCUGGCCCGCCUGGGCAGCCCCUAGCAGAUGGGCUAAGCAAUUGAAUUUCUGAGAUUAAGGCUGGCUUCCCCUGCUAUGGGGCCCCCUCCCGAGCACUGUCCCCUGCUUCCCUUUCUCCCUAGGGUGGCGUGGGUUGCAUCCCUCGGAAGAGCGAAGGAAUGAGCCAGGUCGGGGGGCGGGGAGACAGGUGCACACAGGAGGUCCAGGGCUUGGUCCAUGGGGCUGGUGACCUUUCUGCUUCCCUUGCAGAAAACUCUCCCACCAUGUCGCAGAAUGGAUACUUCGAGGAUUCAAGCUACUACAAGUGUGACACAGAUGACACCUUCGAAGCCCGAGAGGAGAUCCUGGGGGAUGAGGCCUUCGACACUGCCAACUCCUCCAUCGUGUCUGGCGAGAGUAUCCGUUUUUUUGUCAAUGUCAACCUUGAGAUGCAGGCCACCAACACUGAGAAUGAAGCGACUUCCGGUGGCUGUGUGCUCCUGCACACCUCCCGAAAGUACCUGAAGUUAAAGAACUUCAAGGAAGAGAUCCGUGCGCACCGCGACCUAGAUGGCUUCCUGGCGCAGGCCAGCAUCGUCCUGAACGAGACGGCCACCUCCCUGGAUAACGUGCUGCGGACCAUGCUUCGCCGCUUCGCCAGGGACCCUGACAACAAUGAGCCCAACUGCAACCUGGACCUGCUCAUGGCCAUGCUCUUCACCGAUGCCGGGGCACCCAUGCGGGGUAAAGUCCACCUGCUGUCAGAUACCAUCCAAGGGGUCACCGCCACAGUGACAGGGGUGCGGUACCAGCAGUCGUGGCUCUGCAUCAUCUGUACCAUGAAGGCCCUACAGAAGCGGCACGUGUGCAUCAGCCGCCUGGUUCGCCCACAGAACUGGGGGGAGAAUUCCUGUGAGGUUCGGUUCGUCAUCCUGGUGCUGGCCCCACCCAAGAUGAAAAGCACUAAGACUGCGAUGGAGGUGGCGCGCACGUUUGCCACCAUGUUCUCGGAUAUCGCCUUCCGCCAGAAGCUCCUGGAGACCCGCACAGAGGAGGAAUUCAAGGAGGCCUUGGUGCAUCAGAGACAGCUGCUCACCAUGGUGAGCCACGGUCCAGUGGCGCCGAGAACGAAGGAACGCAGCACAGUCUCCCUCCCUGCCCACAGACACCCAGAGCCCCCAAAGUGCAAGGACUUUGUCCCUUUUGGGAAGGGCAUCCGGGAGGACAUCGCACGCAGGUUCCCCUUGUACCCCUUGGACUUCACUGAUGGCAUUAUUGGGAAAAACAAGGCUGUGGGCAAAUACAUCACCACCACCCUGUUCCUCUACUUCGCCUGCCUCCUGCCCACCAUCGCUUUCGGGUCUCUCAAUGACGAGAACACAGACGGGGCCAUCGACGUGCAGAAGACCAUAGCCGGGCAGAGCAUCGGGGGCCUGCUCUACGCGCUCUUCUCUGGGCAGCCAUUGGUGAUUCUGCUGACCACCGCGCCCCUGGCGCUCUACAUCCAGGUGAUUCGUGUCAUCUGUGAUGACUAUGACCUGGACUUCAACUCCUUCUACGCAUGGACGGGCCUGUGGAAUAGUUUCUUCCUUGCGCUUUAUGCCUUUUUCAACCUCAGCCUGGUCAUGAGUCUCUUCAAGAGGUGACUGGCCCUUCCGUCGACGGAGGAGAUCAUCGCCCUCUUCAUUUCCAUCACGUUUGUGCUGGAUGCCGUCAAGGGCACGGUUAAAAUCUUCUGGAAGUACUACUAUGGGCAUUACUUGGACGACUAUCACACAAAAAGGACUUCAUCCCUUGUCAGCCUGUCAGGCCUCGGCGCCAGCCUCAACGCCAGCCUCCACACUGCCCUCAACGCCAGCUUCCUCGCCAGCCCCACGGAGCUGCCCUCGGCCACACACUCAGGCCAGGCGACCGCCGUGCUCAGCCUCCUCAUCAUGCUGGGCACGCUCUGGCUGGGCUACACCCUCUACCAAUUCAAGAAGAGCCCCUACCUGCACCCCUGCGUGCGAGAGAUCCUGUCCGACUGCGCCCUGCCCAUCGCGGUGCUCGCCUUCUCCCUCAUCAGCUCCCAUGGCUUCCGGGAAAUCGAGAAUCCAGUCGCUGUCCCUGAGGGCCGUCAGCGGUGCCAUGGGCCUCGGCUUCCUGCUGUCCAUGCUCUUCUUCAUCGAGCAGAACUUGGUGGCCGCCUUGGUGAAUGCACCGGAGAACAGGCUGGUGAAGGGCACUGCCUACCACUGGGACCUCCUGCUCCUCGCCAUCAUCAACACAGGGCUGUCUCUGUUUGGGCUGCCUUGGAUCCAUGCCGCCUACCCCCACUCCCCGCUGCACGUGCGAGCCCUGGCCUUAGUGGAGGAGCGUGUGGAGAACGGACACAUCUAUGACACGAUUGUGAACGUGAAGGAGACGCGGCUGACCUCGCUGGGCGCCAGCGUCCUGGUGGGCCUGUCCCUGUUGCUGCUGCCGGUCCCGCUUCAGUGGAUCCCCAAGCCCGUGCUCUAUGGCCUCUUCCUCUACAUCGCGCUCACCUCCCUCGAUGGCAACCAGCUCGUCCAGCGCGUGGCCCUGCUGCUCAAGGAGCAGACUGCGUACCCCCCGACACACUACAUCCGGAGGGUGCCCCAGAGGAAGAUCCACUACUUCACGGGCCUGCAGGUGCUUCAGCUGCUGCUGCUGUGUGCCUUCGGCAUGAGCUCCCUGCCCUACAUGAAGAUGAUCUUUCCCCUCAUCAUGAUCGCCAUGAUCCCCAUCCGCUAUAUCCUGCUGCCCCGAAUCAUUGAAGCCAAGUACUUGGAUGUCAUGGACGCUGAGCACAGGCCUUGACUGGCAGACCCUGCCCACGCCCCAUUCGCCAGCCCUCCACGUCCUCCCAGGCUGGCUCUGGAGCUGUGAGGGGAGGUGUAGGUGUGUGGGUGACUGCUCUGUGCUGCGCCUUCUCAUGGCUGACUCAGGCCUGGGGCAUCUGGGCAUUGUAGGGGUGCAGUGGUAUGUGCCCACCCCUCUCCCAUUAUCCUUUAGCUUUAGGCCAAGAGCGUUGCUCAGGGCAGCUUCUGCCCAGGGUGGGUGGGACUGAGCAGGAUGGAUUUUCUUUUGAUAAAAGAGUCGAUGCCUGAAAGAGAAACCAUUUCCUUGAUUGUGUAAGGAACUUGCUGGACGCACAUUAGAGAAUAAAGCUCCUGUUUCUAGGC